AUCUUUGCGCUUGGGGCAAUGACGCAGCUAAUGAGGUAAUAACCUAGGCGCGUCAAUUGCUGGUUGAAAACUAUAUCCUUAGGUAGUAACUUUUGUUUAUUCAAAUCCAUUAACUUAACUGAUCACAGAAUUGUUGAUGCCAAAAAAAAUAUUUU